AUGAUUCUUGACUGGGGUGGGUUCCAGGAGAACGAAUCUGAGGGCCUAGGUUUCAACAAGGCCUCUCCUGUCUCCUACCACAUCUACAGAAAAAAGAACCCCAGAAAAUUCUUACAUGGAAGAUCAGGGACAAUCCAGAGAAAGCUUCCCUUGGUGCUGCAGGAGGGGAACAAGAGCUGCGAUCCAUCCAGACCUAAUCUACCCACCAUAGAAAAAAGUGACUUCAUUGCAGAGGAAGGCUGGAUCAAGAUAUUUGUAGAAGGAACUAAGCUUUUAAUAACUUCUCCUGAUAAAAGUCCUGAUGAAGAUAUUUCUCCCAAGCCCACAGUUUUUCUUCCUUCAUUUGCUGAAGUAAAAGUCCAUAAGGCUGGAACAUAUCUUUGUCUUCUUGAGGAUUUUUUCCCUGAUGUUAUCAAGGUAUAUUGGCAAGAAAAGGAUGACAAAACAAUUCUGAAAUCUCAGCAGGGAGACACCAUGAAGACUAAGGACACAUACAUGAAAUUCAGCUGGCUGACAGUGACUGGAGCAUCAAUGGAUAAAGAACACAAAUGUAUCAUCAACCACCAAAGGAAUAACAGAGAAGUUGUUCAAGAGAUUCUUUUUCCUUCAAUUAACAAAGGUUUGAUGGCUGUGACAGAAUCUGAAAUGGACUCCCAGGGACAUUCAGAAACAAAGCGAAACACAGAGGUGGUGACCGUGAGUCCUUUGAAUUCACGAUCUUUCUCACCUGACCCAAUGGCUGUGGAGCUUGCUGCUAUUAACUCCACAAAAUCUUCUCUGAAUGAUGAAAAUGACACCCUGUGGCUGCAACUUGGGAACACAUCUGCCUACUAUACCUAUGUUCUCCUCCUCCUGAAGAGCCUGGUCUACUCCAUCAUCAUCGUCAUCUGUCUGCUUGGGAGACCAGCACUCAGUAGCAGUGGGAAGAGUUCCUAACACAUAGUGGCACAAGGUGUCACUUCU